UUCAAGCCCUCGAGCAACUUGUUCGGAGAAAAGAAAGUUGAGUAUUACUCGGAUGGAUUUCUCGAAGUCAUGAGCUAGGUGGAAGGAUAUCAGGAAGGUAGAAGAGGAGAAAGUUUAACAUGAUAAUUCACAUGAGAAUUCCCACAAGAAGCACUAGAUAUGAUUCUAGAGUACUGAGUCUCGUAAAGAUGUUGCUUCUGCCCUUCCUUUACCGUCGGAGGAGUACCCAUACUCGGACCACAAACCGGAAUGCAAGGAAUAUUGCCACCACUUGUACUGAGGUUCGGAAUACUUAAAGGGAGAAGAUGGGGAGCUCUCAUGGUUCAAUACGGGCGUGAGGGUGGUCAUUGGAAUCGGUUUAGCUUGUUUGAUCACAUAAUUUUGUAGAAAUAAGUUAAUUAGUGUUGUAGAGAUCCUCUCAAUGUCUCGACCAUUAAAUUGGCACUGUGAAAAUUGAAUGUUAUUCUAUCGCGUAUCGACAAUAAUCAUUCCAGAAUAA